rnacentral:rRNA from 1 species
CGGAAGGCCCUUCGGGGUACUCGAGCGGCGAACGGGUGAGUAACACGUGAGCAACCUGCCCCUGACUCUGGGAUAAGCCCGGGAAACUGGGUCUAAUACCGGAUACGACCGCCUCCGGCAUCGGGUGGUGGUGGAAAGAUUUCUCGGUUGGGGAUGGGCUCGCGGCCUAUCAGCUUGUUGGUGGGGUAGUGGCCUACCAAGGCGACGACGGGUAGCCGGCCUGAGAGGGCGACCGGCCACACUGGGACUGAGACACGGCCCAGACUCCUACGGGAGGCAGCAGUGGGGAAUAUUGCGCAAUGGGCGGAAGCCUGACGCAGCGACGCCGCGUGGGGGAUGACGGCCUUCGGGUUGUAAACCUCUUUCAGCAGGGACGAAGUUGACGUGUACCUGCAGAAGAAGCGCCGGCUAACUACGUGCCAGCAGCCGCGGUAAUACGUAGGGCGCAAGCGUUGUCCGGAAUUAUUGGGCGUAAAGAGCUCGUAGGUGGCUGGUCGCGUCUGCCGUGAAAGCCCGCAGCUUAACUGCGGGUCUGCGGUGGAUACGGGCCGGCUAGAGGUAGGCAGGGGCAAGUGGAAUUCCUGGUGUAGCGGUGAAAUGCGCAGAUAUCAGGAGGAACACCGGUGGCGAAGGCGGCUUGCUGGGCCUUACCUGACGCUGAGGAGCGAAAGCGUGGGGAGCGAACAGGAUUAGAUACUCUGGUAGUCCACGCUGUAAACGUUGGGCGCUAGGUGUGGGGGUCUUCCACGAUCUCCGUGCCGGAGCUAACGCAUUAAGCGCCCCGCC